AUUGAACGCUGGCGGCAGGCUUAACACAUGCAAGUCGAGCGGGGUGAUGGUGCUUGCACUAUCACUUAGCGGCGGACGGGUGAGUAAUGCUUAGGAAUCUGCCUAUUAGUGGGGUACAACAUCUCGAAAGGGAUGCUAAUACCGCAUACGUCCUACGGGAGAAAGCAGGGGAUCUUCGGACCUUGCGCUAAUAGAUGAGCCUAAGUCGGAUUAGCUAGUUGGUGGGGUAAAGGCCUACCAAGGCGACGAUCUGUAGCGGGUCUGAGAGGAUGAUCCGCCACACUGGGACUGAGACACGGCCCAGACUCCUGCGGGAGGCAGCAGUGGGGAAUAUUGGACAAUGGGGGGAACCCUGAUCCAGCCAUGCCGCGUGUGUGAAGAAGGCCUUAUGGUUGUAAAGCACUUUAAGCGAGGAGGAGGCCACUUUAGUUAAUACCUAGAGAUAGUGGACGUUACUCGCAGAAUAAGCACCGGCUAACUCUGUGCCAGCAGCCGCCGUAA
rnacentral:rRNA from 1 species